GACGAACGCUGGCGGCGUGCCUAAUACAUGCAAGUAGAACGCUGAAGAGAGGAGCUUGCUCUUCUUGGAUGAGUUGCGAACGGGUGAGUAACGCGUAGGUAACCUGCCUUGUAGCGGGGGAUAACUAUUGGAAACGAUAGCUAAUACCGCAUAACAAUGGAUGACACAUGUCAUUUAUUUGAAAGGGGCAAUUGCUCCACUACAAGAUGGACCUGCGUUGUAUUAGCUAGUAGGUGAGGUAAUGGCUCACCUAGGCGACGAUACAUAGCCGACCUGAGAGGGUGAUCGGCCACACUGGGACUGAGACACGGCCCAGACUCCUACGGGAGGCAGCAGUAGGGAAUCUUCGGCAAUGGGGGCAACCCUGACCGAGCAACGCCGCGUGAGUGAAGAAGGUUUUCGGAUCGUAAAGCUCGGUUGUAAGUCAAGAACGGGUGUGAGAGUGGAAAGUUCACACUGUGACGGUAGCUGACCAGAAAGGGACGGCUAACUACGUG
rnacentral:rRNA from 1 species